GGAGUUGUUAUAUUAUCUUUGAGCCGUAAAAUAGAAGAUUUGGUGAAGAGCGGCUGGUACGGCGGUUUUGAUUUGAGUCGUUGAGGUUAAGCAGUGUGAUAUUGUGUUGUUUUUUUGAGCUUGUCGAAUUUAAUCUCUCAAAAUGUCUGCUGCUAUGCCGAUUAACCCCAAACCCUUCCUUAAUAGCUUGACGGGAAAACCAGUUAUGGUAAAACUGAAAUGGGGCCACGAAUACAAAGGAUAUUUGGUUUCUGUGGACGGUUACAUGAACAUGCAGCUAGCAAAUACUGAGGAACAUAUAGAUGGCUCUCCUACAGGCAAUUUGGGCGAAGUGCUUAUCAGGUGCAACAAUGUGUUGUACAUUCGUGGAGUGGAAGAGGAGGAUGAAGAAGGUGAAAUGAAAGACUGAGUGAAAAACUUUAUUGUGUUUGUGUACAUUGACAGAGUGCUUUAAUUUAAGACUUUACUUUUAUACAGUAUGUGUUUCUCUAGAAAAUCUUAUUAAAAAAAAAAAAAAAAAAAAGCCAAACAUUACUGUCGAUUUUAUUAUGUAGGUUAAUUGUUUAAAUUUUGCGUCAUUGGCUUGGUGGUACCAAACUGUACUUUUUGGAUGUAUUCUGCGACUAAUAGGGUAAUACACUUUACUUAUAUAGAGUGACACAGAAAAAAUGGCGAUUUUGCUGGUCAGUUUACUAUUUAUGUGGAACAAACUUCUUUUUUUUUUUUUUUUUUUUUUCGAAAAAUGUGUAACAUUUUAUAUGUUAUUCUUUGCUUGCACUUUUAUGUAGUAGAUUAGAGUGUUGUUACUGUGUCAAUCGCUAGGGUAUUUAAUUGCAAAAACAGAGGAUAAAGUAGUACAAUGCAGCUUA